rnacentral:lncRNA from 1 species
CGACUGUUAUAUAUAUAUUUUUUAUAUUUUUCUUUUUUCCUUUUCUUUCAUUUUUCUCUUUUUUCUUUCUUUUUUUUCUCUUUUUCUUUCUUUCUUUCUUCUUUCUUCCCUUCGACUUUGCUCGUCCUCGCCGUCGCCGCUUCCUCCGCCCGGUGCGACGGUCUCCGGCGUCUCCUCUUCUCUUCUUCUUUCUUCUUCUCUUUCUUCUUGGCUGCUUCUUUUUCUUCUUGGUUGUUUUUUUUGUUGAUUUCUUGCUGUUUUUUUUUGCUUUGCUUUGUAGGUGUUGACGACGGCGGUGCUACGGCGGAGGAUACGGUGGCACGGAUGUGGCGGUGGUGGGGGCUCUUUGGCUUGCUGCUGGUUUUAUUUUUUUUGAACUUUCUCUGCUCUUUUUUUUCUUUUGUAUUUGAAAUUUGAGAACCCCCCUCUUCCCUUUCAAUUUCUUCCUUUUAAUCUGCUCACUUUGUCUUCUUUCUCUUUGUUUGCAGGUGGCAGUGGAGCAAUCAUGGCCUAGGGAGGCUGCUGGAGUAGCUCGGCUACCGAUUGGGUGAUUUGACAAGUCUAGAAGGACUAAAUUGUAGAUGGCGCAAAGUUUCUGGGGCAAAAUGAAAUUUUAUUAAAAUAUAGGGCUGAAGUGUAAUUUCUAAAAAGUUUAGGGGCCCAAAUAUAAUUUACAAAAUAUUAGGGGUUAAAAUGUAAUUUUUGAAAAAAUUGGGGGCCAAAAUAUAAUUUUCAAAAAGUACAGAGGUUAAAAUGUAAUUUUUAUUUUUUGCAUUUUAUAUUUUUUUCGAGAUUUUUUAUUACUACUAUUUUAUUAAUAUUUAAAAUAGAAAUUAAAAAUGGACUAAGACAAUUCCAAAAUAAAAUCCUAAUGGGCCCAAUCGUUGGGCCUAUAUGAGACCAGCCCGGCCCGAGACCCUACCUUGGCAAAAUUUAGUGAUUACAAUAACAAUAAGCAAUAUUUCAAAUCUUGUAUUUAAU